rnacentral:rRNA from 1 species
UACGAAGGGGGCUAGCGUUGUUCGGAAUUACUGGGCGUAAAGGGCGCGUAGGCGGCGUGUCAAGUCAGGCGUGAAAGCCCCGGGCUCAACCUGGGAAUGGCAUUCGAGACUGUGUAGCUAGGAUGCGGAAGAGGGAAGCGGAAUUUCCGGUGUAGCGGUGAAAUGCGUAGAUAUCGGAAGGAACACCAGUGGCGAAAGCGGCUUCCUGGUCCAGCAUCGACGUUCAGGCACGAAAGCGUGGGGAGCAAACAGG